ensembl:lncRNA
AAAAAAGAUUUUUAAUCUCAAUGAGUUAUCUUUCUGGUUAAAUAAAGGUUAUAAUAAUACAACCUUUGCAGAACAUCCUCACAGAGAAUGCAGGCCCAGGAACCCAGGCCAGAAGACACACUGGCAGUGCACUGAAGCUGUGGUUCUGAAAGAAAUACAUAAAGAAGAAAAGGAAAAGCCCCGGGACACCAAGGAACGAGUCAAACCAGAACAUGCCAAAAAAGAAGCUGUGGUUCUGAAAGAAAUACAUAAAGAAGAAAAGGAAGAGCCCAGAAAAAGCAAGGAACAAGUCAAACCAGAAUAUGCCAAAAAAGAAGCUGUUCUUCUGAAAGAAAAACCUAAAGAAGAAAAGGAAAAGCCCCGGGACACCAAGGAACGAGUCAAACCAGAACAUGCCAAAAAAGAAGCUGUGGUUCUGAAAGAAAUACAUAAAGAAGAAAAGGAAGAGCCCAGAAAAAGCAAGGAACAAGUCAAACCAGAAUAUGCCAAAAAAGGUACAGAUAGGAAUUUGUAA